rnacentral:rRNA from 1 species
UCAAGCUACUAAGAGCACGUGGUGGAUGCCUUGGCGUCAAGAGGCGAUGAAGGACGUAGGUAGCUGCGAAAAGCUGCGGAGAGUCGCUACACAGACAAUGACCCGCAGAUAUCCGAAUGGGGAAACCCGAGCCGGUGAAAGCCGGCCACAACCCGCUGAAUAUAUAGGCGGGAGUGAGCGAACCCGGGGAACUGAAACAUCUAAGUACCCGGAGGAAAAGAUAUCAACCGAUAUUCCCUAAGUAGCGGCGAGCGAACGGGGAUCAGCCCUUAAGUUUCAAUGAUGCUAGUAAAACGGUCUGGAAAGUCCGGCCAUAGAAGGUGAUAGCCCUGUAUGCGAAAGUUGAAUUGAGAUGAAAUCGAGUAGGACGGGACACGUGAAACCCUGUCUGAACAUGGGGGGACCAUCCUCCAAGGCUAAAUACUCUCUACCGACCGAUAGUGAACCAGUACCGUGAGGGAAAGGCGAAAAGAACCCCGGAGAGGGGAGUGAAAUAGAACCUGAAACCGCGUGCGUACAAGCAGUGGGAGCAUCCUUGUGGUGUGACCGCGUACCUUUUGUAUCAUGGGUCAGCGAGUUACUUUUUGCGGCAAGCUUAACCGUUUAGGGGAGGCGUAGGGAAACCGAGUCUGAAUAGGGCGAAUUAGUCGUAAGGAGUAGACCCGAAACCAAGCGAGCUAUCCAUGGCCAGGGUGAAGGCAGGGUAAUACCUGCUGGAGGCCCGAACCGGGUAAUGUUGAAAAAUUAUCGGAUGAGCUGUGGAUAGGAGUGAAAGGCUAACCAAGCCUGGAGAUAGCUGGUUCUCCUCGAAAGCUAUUUAGGUAGCGCCUCGUGUAUCACUGCUGGGGGUAGAGCACUGUUUCGGCUAGGGGGUCAUCCCGACUUACCAACCCGAUGCAAACUCCGAAUACCAGCAAGUGCAAUCACGGGAGACACACGGCGGGUGCUAACGUCCGUCGUGGAGAGGGAAACAACCCAGACCGCCAGCUAAGGUCCCAAAAUCACAAUUAAGUGGGAAACGAUGUGGAAAGGCUUAGACACCCAGGAGGUUGGCUUAGAAGCAGCCACCCUUUAAAGAAAGCGUAACAGCUCACUGGUUUAGUCGGUCUGCGCGGAAGAUUUAACGGGGCUCAAAUUGUGUACCGAAGCUGCGGAUGCGUAUUUUUCUUCGGAUUAAUAUGUGUGGUAGAGGAGCGUUCUGUACGCCUGUGAAGGCAAGUCGCGAGGCUUGCUGGAGGUAUCAGAAGUGCGAAUGCUGACAUGAGUAACGAUAAUGUGGGUGAAAAACCUACACGCCGAAAACCCAAGGGUUCCUGCGCAACGCUAAUCGGCGCAGGGUGAGUCGGCCCCUAAGGCGAGACCGAAAGGUGUAGUCGAUGGGAAACUGGUUAAGAUUCCAGUACUACUUGUUACUGCGAUGGGGUGACGGAGAAGGCUAGAUCUACCGGGCGUUGGUUGUCCCGGGGAAAGUAUGUAGGCAGAGAGCUUAGGCAAAUCCGGGCUCUUAAUGUCGAGAUACGAGACGACCGGUCUUUGUACCGGAAAGUGGUCGGUGCCAUGCUUCCAGGAAAAGCCUCUAAGCUUCAGGUAACAAGUAACCGUACCGUAAACCGACACAGGUGGGUGAGGAGAGAAUCCUAAGGCGCUUGAGAGAACUCGGGUGAAGGAACUAGGCAAAUUGGUACCGUAACUUCGGGAGAAGGUACGCCCCCGUUGGUGAUGAGACUUGCUCUCUAAGCUGGUGGGGGUUGCAGUGACCAGGUGGCUGCGACUGUUUACUAAAAACACAGCACUCUGCAAACACGUAAGUGGAAGUAUAGGGUGUGACGCCUGCCCGGUGCCGGAAGGUUAAUUGAUCUGGUUAGUCCUCGGACGAAGCUAGUGAUCGAAGCCCCGGUAAACGGCGGCCGUAACUAUAACGGUCCUAAGGUAGCGAAAUUCCUUGUCGGGUAAGUUCCGACCUGCACGAAUGGCGUAACGAUGGCCACACUGUCUCCACUUGGGGCUCAGUGAAGUUGAAAUCGCAGUGAAGAUGC